GAUGAACGCUGGCGGCGUGCCUAAUACAUGCAAGUCGAGCGAACAGACGAGGAGCUUGCUCCUCUGACGUUAGCGGCGGACGGGUGAGUAACACGUGGAUAACCUACCUAUAAGACUGGGAUAACUUCGGGAAACCGGAGCUAAUACCGGAUAAUAUAUUGAACCGCAUGGUUCAAUAGUGAAAGACGGUUUUGCUGUCACUUAUAGAUGGAUCCGCGCCGCAUUAGCUAGUUGGUAAGGUAACGGCUUACCAAGGCAACGAUGCGUAGCCGACCUGAGAGGGUGAUCGGCCACACUGGAACUGAGACACGGUCCAGACUCCUACGGGAGGCAGCAGUAGGGAAUCUUCCGCAAUGGGCGAAAGCCUGACGGAGCAACGCCGCGUGAGUGAUGAAGGUCUUCGGAUCGUAAAACUCUGUUAUUAGGGAAGAACAAAUGUGUAAGUAACUAUGCACGUCUUGACGGUACCUAAUCAAAAAGCCACGGCUAACU
rnacentral:rRNA from 1 species